rnacentral:rRNA from 1 species
UUCAAGAGUACGUGAAACCGUCCAGGGGUAAACCUGCGAAACUCGAAUGAACGAACGGAGAGAUUCACCGUCAUUCCCCGGCGUGCGGGCGCGCACCUCGAUGUCUGUCGGCUUCUUGCCGGCGGGCACGGGUCGCGAACGUCGCGUCCGAGGACGGCGUGCACUUCUCUCUCAGUAAUACAUCGCGACCCGUUCGAUGUCGGUCUAAGCGCCCAGCGGGAGUCUUGGUACGUGAUUCGCGUCACGUAUCUAGACCGCGUCGGUGUCGCCGACCGGCCGUCGGACGGUAGAUCUGACGAAACGUGCACGCGCUUGCGCGCGUCCGGCCCGACGCAAGGCAACGUCGUAUCCCACUUCCUGCCCGAGCGCGGACGAGGGUGCGGCGCGCCUGUCGUCGCUGCCGUGCAGUCUCGGACCGUGCGCGUAUCUGUCUGCGAUGAUUCAGUUUCGGGCACUCGCAGGACCCGUCU